AGAUCCGAUCUUCGAACGACUCUCGGCAACGGAUAUCUCGGCUCUCGCAUCGAUGAAGAACGUAGCGAAAUGCGAUACUUGGUGUGAAUUGCAGAAUCCCGUGAACCAUCGAGUUUUUGAACGCAAGUUGCGCCCCAAGCCUUCGGGCCGAGGGCACGCCUG
rnacentral:rRNA from 1 species